rnacentral:rRNA from 1 species
GAUGAACGCUGGCGGCGUGCUUAACACAUGCAAGUCGAACGAAGCAUUUAAGACAGAUUACUUUGGUUUGAAGUCUUUUAUGACUGAGUGGCGGACGGGUGAGUAACGCGUGGGUAACCUGCCUCAUACAGGGGGAUAGCAGCUGGAAACGGCUGGUAAUACCGCAUAAGCGCACAGUACCACAUGGUACAGUGUGAAAAACUCCGGUGGUAUGAGAUGGACCCGCGUCUGAUUAGCUUGUUGGCGGGGUAACGGCCCUCCAAGGCGACGAUCAGUAGCCGAGCUGAGAGGGUGACCGGCCACAUUGGAACUGAGGCACGGACCAGACUCCUACGGAAGGCAGCGGUGGGGAGUAUUGCACAAUGGAGGAAGCUCUAAUACAGCGACGCCGCGUGAGUGAAGAAGUAGUUCGCUAUGUAAAGCUCUAUCAGCAGAGAAGAUAGUGACGGUACCUGACUAAGAAGCUCCGGCUAAAUACGUG